rnacentral:tRNA from 1 species
GCUUUCCUAUGGCUCAGUUGGUGGAGCAUUGCGCUAACAACGCAAAGUUCGUGGGUUCAAACCCCAGCGAAAGUA